rnacentral:rRNA from 1 species
AGCGAACGCUGGCGGCAGGCCUAACACAUGCAAGUCGAACGAACCUUUCGGGGUUAGUGGCGGACGGGUGAGUAACACGUGGGAACGUGCCUUUAGGUUCGGAAUAACUCAGGGAAACUUGUGCUAAUACCGAAUGUGCCCUUCGGGGGAAAGAUUAAUCGCCUUUAGAGCGGCCCGCGUCUGAUUAGCUAGUUGGUUGAGGUAAUGGCUCACCAAGGCGACGAUCAGUAGCUGGUCUGAGAGGAUGAUCAGCCACAUUGGGACUGAGACACGGCCCAAACUCCUACGGGAGGCAGCAGUGGGGAAUCUUGCGCAAUUGGCGAAAGCCUGACGCAGCCAUGCCGCGUGAAUGAUGAAGGUCUUAGGAUUGUAAAAUUCUUUCACCGGGGACGAUAAUGACGGUACCCGGAGAAGAAGCCCCGGCUAACUUCGUG